UACAGAGGGGGCAAGCGUUAUUCGGAAUUAUUGGGCGUAAAGAGCGCGCAGGCGGUCGUUCAAGUCGCGUGUGAAAGCCCCCGGCUCAACUGGGGAGGGUCACGCGAUACUGAUCGACUGGAAGGCAGGAGAGGGUAGUGGAAUUCCCGGUGUAGUGGUGAAAUGCGUAGAUAUCGGGAGGAACACCAGUGGCGAAGGCGACUACCUGGCCUGUUCUUGACGCUGAGGCGCGAAAGCUAGGGGAGCAAACGGG
rnacentral:rRNA from 1 species